rnacentral:rRNA from 1 species
ACUGGUAAUACCGCAUAAGCCCACAGCUCGGCAUCGAGCAGAGGGAAAAGGAGCAAUCCGCUUUGAGAUGGCCUCGCGUCCGAUUAGCUAGUUGGUGAGGUAACGGCCCACCAAGGCGACGAUCGGUAGCCGGACUGAGAGGUUGAACGGCCACAUUGGGACUGAGACACGGCCCAGACUCCUACGGGAGGCAGCAGUGGGGAAUAUUGCACAAUGGGGGAAACCCUGAUGCAGCGACGCCGCGUGGAGGAAGAAGGUCUUCGGAUUGUAAACUCCUGUUGUUGAGGAAGAUAAUGACGGUACUCAACAAGGAAGUGACGGCUAACUACGUGCCAGCAGCCGCGGUAAAACGUAGGUCACAAGCGUUGUCCGGAAUUACUGGGUGUAAAGGGAGCGCAGGCGGGCGAUCAAGUUGGAAGUGAAAUCCAUGGGCUCAACCCAUGAACUGCUUUCAAAACUGAUUGUCUUGAGUAGUGCAGAGGUAGGCGGAAUUCCCGGUGUAGCGGUGGAAUGCGUAGAUAUCGGGAGGAACACCAGUGGCGAAGGCGGCCUACUGGGCACCAACUGACGCUGAGGCUCGAAAGUGUGGGUAGCAAACAGGAUUAGAUACCCUGGUAGUCCACACCGUAAACGAUGAUUACUAGGUGUUGGAGGAUUGACCCCUUCAGUGCCGCAGUUAACACAAUAAGUAAUCCACCUGGGGA